UACGGAGGGUGCAAGCGUUGCUCGGAAUUAUUGGGCGUAAAGGGUAGGUAGGUGGUCUCGUUUGUCUGGGGUGAAAGCCUUGAGCUUAACUCAAGAAGUGCCCCAGAAACGGCGAGACUAGAGUCCUGGAGAGGGUCGUGGAAUUCCCGGUGUAGCGGUGAAAUGCGUAGAGAUCGGGAGGAACACCAGAGGCGAAAGCGGCGACCUGGACAGCGACUGACACUCAACUACGAAAGCGUGGGGAGCAAACAGG
rnacentral:rRNA from 1 species